UGCCUUACAUGAGGCGGUACUAUGGCCAAUGAGGUAAAUCCGAGGCGUGGUUAUUGCUAGUUGAAAAUUAUUAUUAUUAUU
rnacentral:snRNA from 1 species